UACAGAGGUGGCAAGCGUUGUUCGGAAUUACUGGGCGUAAAGGGCGCGUAGGCGGCCUGUUAAGUCGGACGUGAAAUCCCUCGGCUCAACCGGGGAACUGCGUCCGAUACUGGCGGGCUUGAAUUCGGGAGAGGGAUGUGGAAUUCCAGGUGUAGCGGUGAAAUGCGUAGAUAUCUGGAGGAACACCGGUGGCGAAGGCGGCGUCCUGGACCGACAUUGACGCUGAGGCGCGAAAGCCAGGGGAGCAAACGGG
rnacentral:rRNA from 1 species